AAAAAAAAGAGGAAAUAUAAUUUAUUCUUGAAAGAUUAAAAAGAGUGAUUGCUAUAAAUUUUGAAAAAUUCUAGAUCACUCUACAUUCUUGAUAUUAUAGAAGAACAAAAAAAAAGGUUUGAAAGAAAAUGCAUCUUUUGAGGGGAAGCUUUAAAUACUCAAUCUCUUUAUUGAAAAUUAUCUUCAAACUCUAAACUCUCAAAUUGAAUGAUUAAUUAAGGGGGAGAAAGAAAAUUUCAGAGUGAGAGAUCAUAUAGAACUUAAUCGUAUAAAUUCGCAUCUAACGAUGAGACAAAGAAUACUAAAUGUAAAGUGGUAUUAAACUUUGUGCUUUAUUGAAUAUCUUUUGAAAGUUGGAUUUCCAUCUGUAUUCAUCGGU
rnacentral:lncRNA from 1 species